rnacentral:tRNA from 1 species
AUUUAUGUAGUUUAUAAAAAACAUUUUAUUUUCAAUAAAAAAAAGCAAUUGAUGCUCAUAAAUU